ACAAAAGUUACGAUGGAGAUAAGUACAAGGAGAUGGACCAGAUCAGAGAAAGUGCAACUAGGCUGGAAUUGCGCUUAAAGACUUCUUGGAAAUUUCACUCCUGAACUGCCGGGCUGAAAAGGGAGUAGGCCUGUGCCGGCAAAGCCGUUAAACGAAGAGAGACUUACUUAAGAUAUAUCAAGAGUAAUUAGGGUGGUACCGCGGAAGACUUCGUCCCUUUU
rnacentral:ncRNA from 1 species